rnacentral:sRNA from 1 species
GUCUUUGUUUCAUGAACGAUGCAAAUAGAGUUUGAAAUGGUGAAUGCAAAAUUUAUAUUUACUCAUGGAGGUUUUCGAACAUGGAACAAGGUACAGUUAAAUGGUUUAAUCCGGACAAGGGUUAUGGUUUUAUCACUCGUGAAGAUGGCAGCGAUGUAUUCGUACAUUUCUCAGCUAUCCAAGGCGACGGCUUCAAGACUUUAGACGAAGGUCAAAAAGUUACAUUUGAUGUCGAAGAAGGUAACCGUGGCUUACAAGCUACUAACGUUACUAAGGACUAAUUUAAUCCUUGAAGAAAGGCGCUCAUGCGAGCGUCUUUUUUUU